rnacentral:lncRNA from 1 species
UAUUUCAUAGGACUUGAGAGCUGAUGAUUGCAUCCAUGUCUUUCUUAUCAUCAUUCGUUAUGCAAAAUGAUCAAUGGCAAAGACGUAGCAUACGCUCAAAAUUUUUUACCACAGACUAUUGUUCACAUUCAUAAGGUUGGACCACCUUGUGGCGGCAUAGGCAUAUAGUAGUAAGGAAAUGGAUGACCUAUCAAAUAGUAGAAAAAUUAGUACAUGUAUUUGAAGAAGUCAUAUAGAAAUGUAGUAAAUUAACCUCAUCAUCACAUUAUGGAUGGAAUAUAACACUUGUUGGUAAUAGAGGGAGUGCAUCUGAUGU